rnacentral:lncRNA from 1 species
UUAUGGCUUUGUGAAGUUAAUUAAAGCACUCGUGGUUUUCAUGUAAAAUAUUGAAAAUGGUUUUCUACCCCCUGUGGUAGCAUUUUAAAGGAAAAGGUUUUUGUGUGGAAAACGAUUUUUAAAAGAGUUUUCUAGUUUUCAUAAUUCUUAGUAUUUCAAAAUAAGUUUCCGGGUGGAAAACGUUUUAAACUAAUAGAUAUGGAUUUAUGAAGAAAACAUUGCAAUCUUGUGAUUGAAUAAAUGUGAAUGAAUUUAUGUGAUGUGAUGAAUUGUAUAUGGUUGUUUAUAUACUAUGGUUGUAUCUUGUACUUGUGCGACGCCAUACAAAUACAAUAGAGACUCUGUCCGUGUGAAUAGUGGAAUUUUCUAUAUUUGUGGUGGAUCUGAUAUACUCUGUGGUCAAGGUUUUUUUUUUUUUUUUUUUUUUUAAAUUUGGGCACUUCCGCAUCGAUUUUAAAUCCAGAAAGGGACCACGGGACGUAACAUACACUUUUUAUAAUUGCCUUUCUAAAUGUUUGAACUAUUACUAAUGAAAGGUUAAUUUCAUUCAUACCCCUCUAUACGUCCAAAAUAUCAUAAAUAUCCUUAAUAAUUUAAUUAUAUCACAAAUAUCCUUACAAAUACUUACUAUCUUAUAAAUAUAUCCUCGUCGUUAACUUCUGUCUCUCUAUCAAACAUCUAUUUUAGAUAGGUUAUCAUGAAUUAGUGAAAUGGUUAUUUUAUCCUGAAUUUUUUAAAAUUUUUUGAAAGAGCACUUUAAUGUGAUGAAAUGUACAAUAAAUAAACUUUCAAAACUGUCCCUGACUAGUAAUUAGUUUAGAUAAAGAUAUAAUGUGAAAUAUUGAAUAAAAUAGAAAUAUUAUUCUUUUAAGCAGUGUUUGGAUUGGGUACAAGAUGGGGGAUAAGGAGGUUAUCCCCCCUCUUGUACCCAAACAGGAUUUUUG